ACACAUGCAAGUCGAACGGGAAAACAGGGGCAACUCUGUGAGUACAGUGGCGUACGGGUGAGUAACACGUGACUACCUACCCUCGAGUGGGGGAUAACCCCGGGAAACCGGGGCUAAUACCGCAUAACAUCGCAAGAUCAAAGGAGCAAUUCGCUUGAGGAGGGGGUCGCGGCUGAUUAGCUAGUUGGUGAGGUAACGGCCCACCAAGGCGAUGAUCGGUAGCCGGCCUGAGAGGGCGCACGGCCACACUGGAACUGAAACACGGUCCAGACUCCUACGGGAGGCAGCAGUGGGGAAUUUUGCGCAAUGGGGGAAACCCUGACGCAGCAACGCCGCGUGGAGGAUGAAGUCCCUUGGGACGUAAACUCCUUUCGACCCGGACGAUAAUGACGGUACGGGUGGAAGAAGCACCGGCUAACUUCGUGCCAGCAGCCGCGGUAAUACGAGGGGUGCGAGCGUUGUUCGGAAUUAUUGGGCGUAAAGGGCGCGUACGCGGUGCGGUAAGUCACCUGUGAAAUCUCCC
rnacentral:rRNA from 1 species